rnacentral:rRNA from 1 species
AUUGAACGCUGGCGGCAUGCUUUACACAUGCAAGUCGAACGGCAGCGCGGGCUUCGGCCUGGCGGCGAGUGGCGAACGGGUGAGUAAUGCAUCGGAACGUGCCCAGUAGUGGGGGAUAGCCCGGCGAAAGCCGGAUUAAUACCGCAUACGACCUGAGGGUGAAAGCGGGGGACCGAAAGGCCUCGCGCUAUUGGGCGGCCGAUGUCGGAUUAGCUAGUUGGUGGGGUAAAGGCUUACCAAGGCGACGAUCCGUAGCUGGUCUGAGAGGACGACCAGCCACACUGGGACUGAGACACGGCCCAGACUCCUACGGGAGGCAGCAGUGGGGAAUUUUGGACAAUGGGGGCAACCCUGAUCCAGCCAUGCCGCGUGCGGGAAGAAGGCCUUCGGGUUGUAAACCGCUUUUGUUCGGGAAGAAAUCCUCUGGGCUAAUACCCCGGGGGGAUGACGGUACCGGAAGAAUAAGCACCGGCUAACUACGUG